ACAGGAAGAACCCUGUACACUUCCAGGAGUUCUCUCAUCCUGGUGACGGUGAUUAUCACGACCCCGAAGUUGUAACUGCAGCCGAUGAUGAUCAGCGGCCUGAAUGCCCCUAUGGAACUGCUUGUUACAGGAAGAAUCCGCAGCACAAGAAAGAGUAUAAGCACACGGCACCCCCAGAACCCGAAAGAAGGCAGAGGAGACCAAAGCCUACCAAAAAAGGAAGAAGCGUCUUGGAGGACGACAGUGAUAACGAUGGCGGACCCAAUGAGUACGAUCUGGAUGACAGCUUCAUAGAUGAUGAAGAGGAAGAAGAGUGUGAGCCCACGGAUGAAGAUUCAGACUGGGAGCCAGAUUUUGAGGACAAAGAUAAUGAAGAUGUUGACGCCCUCUUGAAGGAAGCACAGAAGUUUGUUAAAACCAAGAAGUAAUUGGGUCCGUGCAAUCUACAGGCUUUGAACAUAAGCAGUGAACGUUAAAAACAUUUUAAAUCCUACCAAAAUAUAUGAAAACUUCUGAAAUUGAUCUGACUUAAGCAUUCUGAACUUAGUUGAUUAUUAUCUUUUGUUCAGUUUGUGUUCUUUUUCCCACCAGAUUUGUGUCCCAUUUGCUCAAGUUGGGGAAAGAUAGAUUAGAAGAUUGUUUCAAUACUUUUAAGAGAGAAUUAUUUUUCUACUUUUAGACCAAAUGCCAGAUUCAUGAAUUUAAAAAAAUGUGCUGAACACAAUGAGGCUAGAGUCACGCACUUGAGUCCCUUCUAUUUCAAUGUAGAAUGUUUCAGCAAAUACUCAAAGCUUGCGUUAAACUGAAUAUUUUAAAAUCCUUUAUUUUGGUUCAAUUUAACCAUUGAACGUUAGUCAGAAACCCCGUUUUAUAUCGGUGUGGAUGAGCCUGUCACAUAAAAAAAUGAGUCUGAAUUUGGACAAAGGUAUGUAAACCUUCUUAAAAUCUCUUUUCACAAACGUUAAUGUCACAGGGACAAUCUUGAAAUGUGGUGUUGUAGCACUUCUGUGCCAUUAACAUCUUCAAAGCUGUGCUUUGGGUCUUAAAAUGAGACCUUAGGAGUGCAUUUGUGCCAUGCUUAAUGCUAAGGGAAGAAAGGAAUACUCCGUAUAUGAGAAGUUCAAAAAAACUCUACAUCUGCCACUAAAGCAAUUAGGAUUUUGCUUCCUUUGUGUCUACUGUCAGCUGGUAACCGAGCCAUAAACAAUUACUGUCCUUUAUUACUUGUAAUGUAUCAACCAACACUGCAAAUAGCGCUACCUUACCUUUUGUAUUUGAAGAAAAAUGUUUAUAAAUUUGUCCUGAAGGGCAA